rnacentral:rRNA from 1 species
GACGAACCGUACGAACGUUAUUCGGAAUCACUGGGCUUAAAGGGUGCGUAGGCUGCGCGGAAAGUUGGGUGUGAAAUCCCUCGGCUCAACCGAGGAACUGCGCCCAAAACUGCCGUGCUUGAGGGAGACAGAGGUGAGCGGAACUUAGGGUGGAGCGGUGAAAUGCGUUGAUAUCCUAAGGAACACCGGUGGCGAAAGCGGCUCACUGGGUCUCUUCUGACGCUGAGGCACGAAAGCUAGGGUAGCGAACGGG